rnacentral:rRNA from 1 species
GAUGCGAGCGUUAUCCGGAUUUAUUGGGUUUAAAGGGUGCGUAGGCGGAUUCUCAAGUCAGCGGUCAAAACCCGGGGCUCAACCCCGGCCUGCCGUUGAAACUGCCGGUCUUGAGUGAGCGAGAAGUAUGCGGAAUGCGUGGUGUAGCGGUGAAAUGCAUAGAUAUCACGCAGAACUCCGAUUGCGAAGGCAGCAUACCGGCGCUCAACUGACGCUGAGGCACGAAAGCGUGGGGAUC